GGCUUGAUGGUCUAGUAGUAUGAUUCCUUGUUAGGGGUGGUCACUGGCAUGCCGUUUCGAGGAGGUCCUGGGUUCAAUUCCCAGUCGAGCCC